rnacentral:rRNA from 1 species
AGAGUUUGAUCAUGGCUCAGAUUGAACGCUGGCGGCAGGCCUAACACAUGCAAGUCGAGCGGUAGCACAGAGAGCUUGCUCUCGGGUGACGAGCGGCGGACGGGUGAGUAAUGUCUGGGAAACUGCCUGAUGGAGGGGGAUAACUACUGGAAACGGUAGCUAAUACCGCAUAACGUCGCAAGACCAAAGUGGGGGACCUUCGGGCCUCAUGCCAUCAGAUGUGCCCAGAUGGGAUUAGCUAGUAGGUGGGGUAACGGCUCACCUAGGCGACGAUCCCUAGCUGGUCUGAGAGGAUGACCAGCCACACUGGAACUGAGACACGGUCCAGACUCCUACGGGAGGCAGCAGUGGGGAAUAUUGCACAAUGGGCGCAAGCCUGAUGCAGCCAUGCCGCGUGUGUGAAGAAGGCCUUCGGGUUGUAAAGCACUUUCAGCGGGGAGGAAGGCGUUAAGGUUAAUAACCUUGUCGAUUGACGUUACCCGCAGAAGAAGCACCGGCUAACUCCGUGCCAGCAGCCGCGGUAAUACGGAGGGUGCAAGCGUUAAUCGGAAUUACUGGGCGUAAAGCGCACGCAGGCGGUCUGUCAAGUCGGAUGUGAAAUCCCCGGGCUCAACCUGGGAACUGCAUUCGAAACUGGCAGGCUAGAGUCUUGUAGAGGGGGGUAGAAUUCCAGGUGUAGCGGUGAAAUGCGUAGAGAUCUGGAGGAAUACCGGUGGCGAAGGCGGCCCCCUGGACAAAGACUGACGCUCAGGUGCGAAAGCGUGGGGAGCAAACAGGAUUAGAUACCCUGGUAGUCCACGCCGUAAACGAUGUCGAUUUGGAGGUUGUGCCCUUGAGGCGUGGCUUCCGGAGCUAACGCGUUAAAUCGACCGCCUGGGGAGUACGGCCGCAAGGUUAAAACUCAAAUGAAUUGACGGGGGCCCGCACAAGCGGUGGAGCAUGUGGUUUAAUUCGAUGCAACGCGAAGAACCUUACCUGGUCUUGACAUCCACAGAACUUUGCAGAGAUGGUUUGGUGCCUUCGGGAACUGUGAGACAGGUGCUGCAUGGCUGUCGUCAGCUCGUGUUGUGAAAUGUUGGGUUAAGUCCCGCAACGAGCGCAACCCUUAUCCUUUGUUGCCAGCGGUCCGGCCGGGAACUCAAAGGAGACUGCCAGUGAUAAACUGGAGGAAGGUGGGGAUGACGUCAAGUCAUCAUGGCCCUUACGACCAGGGCUACACACGUGCUACAAUGGCAUAUACAAAGAGAAGCGACCUCGCGAGAGCAAGCGGACCUCAUAAAGUAUGUCGUAGUCCGGAUUGGAGUCUGCAACUCGACUCCAUGAAGUCGGAAUCGCUAGUAAUCGUAGAUCAGAAUGCUACGGUGAAUACGUUCCCGGGCCUUGUACACACCGCCCGUCACACCAUGGGAGUGGGUUGCAAAAGAAGUAGGUAGCUUAACCUUCGGGAGGGCGCUUACCACUUUGUGAUUCAUGACUGGGGUGAAGUCGUAACAAGGUAACCGUAGGGGAACCUGCGGUUGGAUCACCU